ensembl:lncRNA
GUGAGACAUUAAAAAAAGAACAGCAACGAAAAGUCAGAUAGGGAAGCAGGAACAAUCAGCCGGCAUCCCCGUCGGCCCCUCUCUUUGGUGUUUUGCUUUCCCUUAAGAUCUGCUGCCGAAGAAAGCCAAGCUCCUCAUUAAAAAAUCCUCCUGAGAGAGCAACACUCAAGGGAGCGUUUUACAUCGCUGACUACUCAGGAAUCGUGUAUCUGUCUCGGCUGCCACCGUUAAGAUGGAAAAGGCAGCCGGUGAAGGAGCGACCUUAGACAAAACUAUCCCACUGUUCGCUACAGCGGAUCAUGAAGGAAAAACGACUCCUGUGGGCUGACACCAAUACAUUUCCUCCUGUCGGCGGAUCAAGAUGACUUCAAUCUGCUGUUCUUAUCUCAGAGAAUCGACGCUAUCGAUCUCUCUUCAUAAUAGAUACCCUGUUUUGCCCAGAAUUGAAUUAAAG